rnacentral:misc_RNA from 1 species
AAUAUUUGCCACUUCCUAAAUCCAAAAGGCACAUGACAUUAGUCAGCUGUAGGAUUUGCAGCUUUGACAUUGAUUGGACACUCUUAUGAUGAUGUAUAAUUUUUAUAUAGUUGGUUCGCUCCUAUUUUCACCCUUCCCAUGUUCAUUGCCCUAUUUGUUAUUCCAUUUAUGAUCAUCUUAGGUGGUUAUUGACUAGAUUGUCGAAUGUCAAUUUUGCAGAGGUCAGUCAAAUGUCCAGCCGUU